CCCCGCUGACGAGCGGCGGACGGGUGAGUAAUGCAUAGGAAACUGCCCAGUAGUGGGGGAUAGCCCGGGGAAACCCGGAUUAAUACCGCAUACGCCCUUUGGGGGAAAGCAGGGGAUCUUCGGACCUUGCGCUAUUGGAUGUGCCUAUGUCGGAUUAGCUAGUUGGUGGGGUAAGAGCCUACCAAGGCGACGAUCCGUAGCUGGUCUGAGAGGAUGAUCAGCCACAUCGGGACUGAGACACGGCCCGAACUCCUACGGGAGGCAGCAGUGGGGAAUAUUGGACAAUGGGGGCAACCCUGAUCCAGCCAUGCCGCGUGUGUGAAGAAGGCUUUCGGGUUGUAAAGCACUUUCAGUGAGGAGGAAAACCUUACGACUAAUACUCGUGAGGCUUGACGUUACUCACAGAAGAAGCACCGGCUAACUCCGUGCCAGCAGCCGCGGUAAUACGGAGGGUGCAAGCGUUAAUCGGAAUUACUGGGCGUAAAGCGCGCGUAGGUGGUUUGAUAAGCGAGAUGUGAAAGCCCCGGGCUCAACCUGGGAACGGCAUUUCGAACUGUCAGGCUAGAGUAUGGUAGAGGAGUGUGGAAUUUCCUGUGUAGCG
rnacentral:rRNA from 1 species